AUUGAACGCUGGCGGCAUGCCUUACACAUGCAAGUCGAACGGUAACAGGUCUUCGGAUGCUGACGAGUGGCGAACGGGUGAGUAAUACAUCGGAACGUGCCCGAUCGCGGGGGAUAACGAAGCGAAAGCUUUGCUAAUACCGCAUAAGAUCUACGGAUGAAAGCAGGGGACCGCAAGGCCUUGCGCGAACGGAUCGGCCGAUGGCAGAUUAGGUAGUUGGGGGGAUAAAAGCUUACCAAGCCGACGAUCUGUAGCUGGUCUGAGAGGACGACCAGCCACACUGGGACUGAGACACGGCCCAGACUCCUACGGGAGGCAGCAGUGGGGAAUUUUGGACAAUGGGCGAAAGCCUGAUCCAGCCAUGCCGCGUGCAGGAUGAAGGCCUUCGGGUUGUAAACUGCUUUUGUACGGAACGAAAAGACUCUGGUUAAUACCUGGGGUCCAUGACGGUACCGUAAGAAUAAGCACCGGCUAACUACGUG
rnacentral:rRNA from 1 species